CUCUGUGACUCCUACGGGAGGCAGCAGUGGGGAAUAUUGCACAAUGGGCGCAAGCCUGAUGCAGCCAUGCCGCGUGUGUGAAGAAGGCCUUCGGGUUGUAAAGCACUUUCAGUUGUGAGGAAGGUGGUGUCGUUAAUAGCGGCAUCAUUUGACGUUAGCAACAGAAGAAGCACCGGCUAACUCCGUGCCAGCAGCCGCGGUAAUACGGAGGGUGCGAGCGUUAAUCGGAAUUACUGGGCGUAAAGCGCAUGCAGGUGGUUUGUUAAGUCAGAUGUGAAAGCCCGGGGCUCAACCUCGGAACUGCAUUUGAAACUGGCAGACUAGAGUACUGUAGAGGGGGUAGAAUUUCAGGUGUAGCGGUGAAAUGCGUAGAGAUCUGAAGGAAUACCGGUGGCGAAGGCGGCCCCCUGGACAGAUACUGACACUCAGAUGCGAAAGCGUGGGGAGCAAACAGGAUUAGAUACCCUGGUGA
rnacentral:rRNA from 1 species